CGGUAACAGGGAUUAGCUUGCUAAUUUGCUGACGAGUGGCGCACGGGUGCGUAACGCGUAUACAAUCUACCUUUUACAGGGGGAUAGCCCAGAGAAAUUUGGAUUAAUACCUCAUAGUAUAUAGACUAGGCAUCUAGAUUAUAUUAAAGUUUCGGCGGUAAAAGAUGAGUAUGCGUUCUAUUAGCUAGAUGGUGUGGUAACGGCACACCAUGGCAACGAUAGAUAGGGGCCCUGAGAGGGGGAUCCCCCACACUGGUACUGAGACACGGACCAGACUCCUACGGGAGGCAGCAGUGAGGAAUAUUGGACAAUGGGCGCAAGCCUGAUCCAGCCAUGCCGCGUGCAGGAAGACUGCCCUAUGGGUUGUAAACUGCUUUUAUACAGGAAGAAACACCUCUACGUGUAGAGGCUUGACGGUACUGUAAGAAUAAGGAUCGGCUAACUCCGUGCCAGCAGCCGCGGUAAUACGGAGGAUCCAAGCGUUAUCCGGAAUCAUUGGGUUUAAAGGGUCCGUAGGUGGAUAAUUAAGUCAGAGGUGAAAUCCUGCAGCUCAACUGUAUAAUUGCCUUUGAUACUGGUUAUCUUGAGUUAUUAUGAAGUAGUUAGAAUAUGUAGUGUAGCGGUGAAAUGCAUAGAUAUUACAUAGAAUACCAAUUGCGAAGGCAGAUUACUAAUAAUAUACUGACACUGAUGGACGAAAGCGUGGGGAGCGAACAGGAUUAGAUACCCUGGUAGUCCACGCCGUAAACGAUGGUUACU
rnacentral:rRNA from 1 species